rfam:Macrostomum lignano uti_cns_0018653, whole genome shotgun sequence.
AUAGCCUAGUGGUUAGAGCAUUGGACUUAUGAUUAAAAGGUUUUGGGUUUGAUUCCCAAU